rnacentral:lncRNA from 1 species
UUUUAAUUAAGAAAACUUUUUAAGGAACACAGGCCUCUCCCCGCUGUGUUCCCUGCAAGGGGGGUCCCCACACGGUGCACGAGGGGUGCACCUGGCCCUGGGAAGAAAACUGCUGCUUGUCAUGUGGAUGUUAGCCAUUUUCACCCAGGUCGUGAGAGGUAGAGGAUUUCCUUUUCCUUCUAUUCUUCAAUACCUUCAAAAUUUUAUGUAAUCAAUUUACACUCCUAGUGGGGAACUUGUGGUCAAAUUACUCGGCCUGCAUGGUUAGGUCUUCUCAUAGGGAGAAGGAAGCCCUAAACAGAGACUAGAACUGAGUGGGGAGCCCUCCCGGGCCAGUGGUUAGAAGGAUCUUGCCGGGUUGGGAAGCAGAAACCAAAGCACCCAGUGAGGUAUCUGAAUUGUAUCCCCAGGACCUGACCCUUGGCCCAUGCCCUUCCCUCCACUGGAGGGCUUUUCUCUCCGGUUCCUGCAUGUGGACAAUGAAAUGUCGGUUUCAACCUUGAAACCCCACUUGGUCACAUCAUACCUUCCAGGGAGCUUUCCCUGGUCAGCUGUGUUCUCCCUGUGGAGUCUCCUUGUUCUCCACUGUCGUGAACACAGUCUCUCACCCAGAUCGUUGCACGGCCUUAUAAAUACUGAGUAAAAUUGAAUCUCCUAUUGCUUAUCUGUGGCCUGACAGUUUCUGGUUAUGGAUUUAACACAUUAAUGAAGAAGUUCACUUGGUUGGUAAAGGCACAUCUUGAAUCCACUAGACUGUAAACCUUG